GUUUCUUAAUGAAAAACGUAGCUUUUCUGUAUUUUAUGUUUUGGUUCCUUCAAUAUAAAUUAUUGACGUUAAGUUAAUUAACAAAAAUCAAUGAAGCGAUACAACUUUGUAAAAUGUAAAUGUGUAUCAUCCAUUAUGGAGCACUCGUAAUAUAUUUUAAAGUCAAUAUUCCAACGUGUCUUUCCCAUGAGGGGUUUUAUGCGCUAGGUAAUUGUGAUGAGACAUCUUAUUGUGCAAGUCUCGACAAGCUAAUAUAAGCUUUGCAGCGUGUUAUGACUUAUGGAACAGGUAGGAAGUGCCAUAUGGUUAAAGUUCAUACUGUGACGUAAUUAAAAAUAGGUCUCGGUCUUUCAAAGGGUGGAAUAAACUGAAACCGCGCAUCUUUGAUACAGAUAUUUGGUCCAAAUCUUUAUUCAAAACUCAAAGUUGAUGUCGUUGUCAAAGCACUGCCCAGCGAGUAGUAACAUUGUUGUAUUCAAGGGCAUGCUAACAAGUGAAUGGAAGGGAAUGAACAGAUAUUAAACUGCAAUUCUAGAAAACUAGAAGCAUUAGCGAGGAAAUGAACUAAACACGAUGAAAGCAGUUAUCUGACUAUCAUGCCAGUGCAGAGAAUAAGUGAAAACAGACUGCUUUCUCAGCAUGAAAGACAUGAGCGGUUGGAAGAUAAAUGGAUUCUUUGUUUAUGUAAAACGAAACAGAGUAAGGGUACGUUAAAUGAGGACACUGACAAAAAAGAACUGGGGGUAUUAUAGUAUUUGGGAUUUGGUGUAUGAUAAGAAUAGUAAACACAGUGCUUAUUUUUUACUGGGAUAUUUCAGUUAUAGCUUUUUUGAUACCAUAGUUUGUGGGCAUGAAUUAUGGGUGGAGACCCCAAUCCUCAAUCCAAUGCUAUGCCCUUGCCAUCGCAGACAAUGAUGAGAUGGAUUUAUACCGCGAGAUCACCUGGGCUUCAGGAUCUCUAUUGGAAGCGAACCACAGAAACACUUGAAGUGGGCUGACUUUUUAUCGGAUAUUUCAUACCUACUGAGGACCAAGUUCAGCUUUACACUUGCAGUGUUUUACAGCAAUGAAGAAUUGUCACCUAAUACGCCAGUCAGCACAUAGAUCAGCAUGGGGCAACAACAAUUCAUGUCACAUUUAUAGAGAUUUGUGACACCCACUGCAAAGACUUUUUGUGACUACCUCACUGCCUGCUGACUGCUCAUUGGGCACACAGUGAAAUUUCUGCUUGUGUGUAGUUCCAGUUCUACUUCCUGCACAGUGUGAUCAUUUGUCCAUGGGUAAUCACACUGCAGCACACUCACCUAUGGAAAACCACAGUGUCGAGCUUGAGGGAGCCCGGAUACCAACCUUACCAUUACCAGCAUCAUGCCCAGCAGGCAUCCAAUCGAUGAUUCAUCAGACCACUGGAUAUGGUUUAAGCUCAAGGUGUCUGACAUUAAGAGUGUGUGCUUAAGAAGAGCCGCAUCAGUGCCCCUUUCCACAAGGCCACUGAUUCAACAUGUUAGUCAGUGACGUCCUUCGUCUGUGUCUCACUUCCUGUCACUGCUCCUCUCACAGUGACACUAUGUGAAAAUGAACUGGGACUGUCAAAGUCUUUCCCUUGCACUUUAUUUGUUGAUGGUUAAGUCUUCAGUUCCCUUGUUCGAAGGUACAACUGCAUAACUUCUCUUGGGAUGUGAUGUAUCUGUGGGUUAAAUGUCUCCAUUUUUAAACAAUACAUAUCUGUCCUCUUCAUCAAGGAA